UACGUCGCCCUCCAGGCGCACUGCUCCUUGCGCAGCCUGCGUCAUAACAAUUUUCUUUUUUGUGUCUCUGUCAUCAUCCGGAAUCGUUAUGCCGCGAACACGUUCGGUUGUUGAUCGGCGGUUUCUACCAUCGAAACGUGUUCGCGUGGAUUUCGACUGGGUCAGGUUUGUUUUUGGGAAGGGGAGGUUGAGAGAGUGGAAUGAGGCAUUUUGUUGGAUGCUUUUCUUGUAUUGAUUUGGUAUAGCUGGCGGGGUUCAAAGUACGCGGAGAUUGGGUACCAACCCUUUGCGGUCCGGCGUCACGUGUAACCAUUAAAACGUCAUGUAUUACUUGGUCGUUCGAAAAUAUCAUGGAUAUAUGGAAAUAUCAUGGAAAAUAUCGUUCUUAUUAUGGAUAUGUCGUUUCUUUCUUUCAAUGAGACAAUGGCAAAUCUUAUAUGAGCCAUUCGGAAGCCACAGUGAUCAACUCCAUAAAUUGAAGUGCAGAGAAAAGUGGCGAUGUUGCAAACAGUAUUUUUUAUAUUUGUUUUGGAAUUUGCUAUUAUUUAUGGGAGUAAGAAAUUUGUGUUUUGAGAAUUGAACAUUAAUCGUAAUGUAAUUUGUCAUAACGUAUUUACAUAAUGAAAUUGAGAAAUUGAUAAAAAUUGAGUUAAUAGGUUCUACUUUUGAGAGGUUGAUACAUAUGUAUAUGUAAUGAUAUUGAAAUAUUGUACGUAAUUGUCUGUCUAUAAGUUGUAUAAUUUGAAGUUAUAGUUCAAACUACAUUUUGUAACAGAUAUAGUUUGACUUCAUUGAACUCAGAUUAUAAGCCUUGUUACGGCCGCGACUUAAGUAAACAAAAUUUUAAUCUGUUUCAUUUUUGUAUAUUAUGCUCUCGUCGUAUAUCGGGAUUGUUCUUUUAUGCAACCAAAUUAAAAAUUCAAGUUUUACCACAUUUACUUUGCAUCGAACGUUUAAAAGACAAAAUAACAUGUCUAUUCUUUAUAAACAACGAAAGAAAAUUGCAUUUUGUUUAAUAAGGUAUUACUUGACGAACACAGACCGCAGAGGGUUACUAAAAUUUCCUUAUCAAGGACAUAAGAAGCAGAUAUUAUACCGUGUCGAUUUUAAAUUACUAGAUUUCAUUCACAUUGAACGUAUCUUUCGCGUAACUUUGCAUAUAAAAGGAUUAAGGAACACGUUCUUCCGUUUUAUCGUAUUUCAAUUAUUAAUUUUGUGCUUCAUGCAAAAAUAACUAUUUUUACACAGAUUAAUAAAGAGGAAUGCAACAGAAAAUAAAUUAUUUAUUCAUUUAAAAAAAUAUAUAUCGAGCUACUAUUGGAAAGUGAUCCGAUGAAUUUAAUGAUCAAAAGUAGGGAAAAAGAAUCAAUUAAUCAUUAAAAAGGUGUAUCAGGUUAUUAUGAGAAAACGACGGAGAUAUUUUCCCGGGUCUAAAAUAUUUUCUAAAAGAUCAAUACUUUGAUGGACGACGUAAAAGCUGGUGCGAUGUUUCCUUACCUGUAGAGCCUCGGCCUCGUCUCGCCUUUCGUCCUCCGUAUUCAUUGUGACAAAUCUCAGCACCAAUAAAUUGAGGGAGGCGGCGACGAUGGCUAAGCCGAAUAAAAUGAAUA